AUGUGUGAAUACACAGGAGAUUUGAAAGACCCUCAGCGUCAUAUCGACAUCCAACUCACUGACGAUGAAGUUACCGAAGCUGUGAAGAAAAUGCUUGAUGAACCGGUGGAGCAAUGCAGCAAAACGGGACUCAUUCCUUUCUAUGCUGCCAACAAACCGCCAAAGGGCGAUGAUCCAUUCUGGAAGAGGAAAACACAAGAUAAACCGGCAAGGGCUCCCCGUAUCAAGUCCAAAGUCACAAAGAAGCCUACAAAAAGGAGAACCGCUGAACCGUUUGAACCAGUCAUUGAUGAGGAUCUGGAUAAUCGGGAUUCAGAGGAUGAUGCGGAGGCUAGCCAUGCUGACGAGGUAACCAUUCUUUCUUCUGAUUCAAAUCCUGUGCCAAUGCCAAAAAUCCGUCGAGCCAUCCAGAAAGUAAAAUUUUCAUGCCCUCUUUCUUAUUUGGAUCCGCACUUUCUUUUGAAGACACAGCAGCAUGAAAGUCGCCGCACAACCCGGCAUAGCGGCCAAGUGGUGACCUCAUCCGGUUUACCGAACUCUCCGGUUCGCAAACGCCGCCAAGAGGGAACUUCCCAUUCAUCAUCCGGCGAGUCAUCAGCCACACAGCUUCCUCCCCUUAAAACUGUCCCUGGAGCCAAAGCUAGAACAAGCAAGAAGGCUAAGUUGAGUAAGCCGUCUGGGGAUGAACCGGCUACUGAACCGGAUAAAAUCCCAGAGGUUGUUGAUCUGGAUGCUGACACGGUCCUUGAUGAUCCGAUGUUUUAA
rnacentral:rRNA from 1 species